GAAAUGCGAUACGUAAUGUGAAUUGCAGAAUCUCGUGAAUCAUCAAAUUUUCGAACGCACAUUGCGCUCUUGGGUAUUCCUAAGAGCAUGCCUGUUUGAGCGUCAGUAUCAACCCUCAAACCCACUUUUGGGUUUGGACCUGGGCCUUUUUCUCAAGGGUCAAACCUUGAGUGGUCUCAAAUCUAUAGGAGAAGUUAGCAAUAUUUCCCGCAUGAAGGCGUGAUAAUGGUGUAGUUUACAUCUUUCUUUCGCCUGCUAUUGUGGACUUGCUAAUAUCAUCUCCGUAAUGGCCUUUUCUGGCAACAUCAAAGGCUUUCUGGCCUUUGAAACUUGACCUCAAAUCAAGCAAGACUACCCGCUGAACUUAA
rnacentral:misc_RNA from 1 species